CCUACGGGGGGCAGCAGUCGAGAAUUUUUGGCAAUGGGCGAAAGCCUGACCAAGCGAUGCCGCGUGCGGGAUGAAGGCCUUCGGGUUGUAAACCGCUGUCAGUGGGGAGGAAAGCUUUGCGAAGAGCAAGGCUUGACCUAUCUGCAGAGGAAGUGUGGGCUAAGUUCGUGCCAGCAGCCGCGGUAAGACGAACCACACAAAGGAUAUUCGGGGCUACUGGGCUUACAGGGUGCGGCAGAAGCGCAGAUAGGAAAUCCCUCGGCUCAACCGAGGAACUGCGCCCAAAACUACUGUGCUUGAGGAAGAUAGAGGUAAGCGGAACUUACGGUGGAGCGGUGAAAUGCGUUGAUAUCGUAAGGAACACCUGUGGCGAAAGCGGCUUACUGGGUCUUUUCUGACGCUGAUGCACGAAAGCUAGGGGAGCAAACGGGAUUAGAUACCCCUGUAGUC
rnacentral:rRNA from 1 species